rnacentral:rRNA from 1 species
UAAGGAAUAUUGGACAAUGGUCGCAAAACUGAUCCAGCCAUGCCGCGUGCAGGCAGACGGCCCUAUGGGUUGUAAACUGCUUUUGUACCAGAGAAAACCUAUCUACGUGUAGAUAGCUGAUAGUAUGGUAAGAAUAAGCAUCGGCUAACUUCGUGCCAGCAGCCGCGGUAAGACGAAGGAUGCAAGCGUUAUCCGGAUUCAUUGGGUUUACAGGGUGCGUAGGCGGGCUUGUAAGUUAGUGGUGAAAUCUCUCAGCUUAACUGAGAAACUGCCAUUGAUACUGCAGGCCUAGAGUAUAGAUGACGUCGGCGGAAUAUGACAUGUAGUGGUGAAAUACUUAGAUAUGUCAUAGAACACCGAUUGCAAAGGCAGCUAACGAAACUAUAACUGACGCU